rnacentral:misc_RNA from 1 species
AAGUCGUAACAAGGUUUCCGUAGGUGAACCUGCGGAAGGAUCACCAAUCCAAACGUUAAACCCCCCUGUGAACCUUCAGUCGUACUCGUACGUCCGUUAGAAAAAGCAGCAAUCCCUGGUAAAUCAUCGCCGAACAGUUUUCGAUUCAGGGACGUCUGCAAGGAGCGUCUGGCAUCCCCAAGCAGUUAGUGUCUGAAAGUGUCACUAACGUUAGUGUCUGAAAGUGUCACUAACAUGUGUAAGGAUGACGCAGUCACGAUCGUUGGAGGCCCACACGGCCGACGACCGGGUCACUGGGUGCAAGCCCCCUUAUCACACCCCUGCUCUAUCUAUGGUGAUCCUGCGGGAAGUCCUGCGGUCGAACGCCGAAACCGAACAACUGUUAACAAUGGAUAUCUUGGUUCUC